rnacentral:rRNA from 1 species
AACUUUGGGCUUGGUUGGCCGGUCCGCUUUUUUGCGAGUACUGGAUUCAACCGAGCCUUUCCUUCUGGCUAACUAGUCGUUCUUCGGCUAGCGAACCAGGAUUUUUACUUUGAGAAAAUCAGAGUGUUCAAAGCAGGCAUUAGCUUGAAUAUAUUAGCAUGGAAUAAUAGAAUAGGACGUUAUGGUUCUAUUUUGUUGGUUUCUAGGACCAUCGUAAUGAUUAAUAGGGACGGUCGGGGGCAUCAGUAUUCAGUUGUCAGAGGUGAAAUUCUUGGAUUUACUGAAGACUAACUACUGCGAAAGCAUUUGCCAAGGACGUUUUCAUUAAUCAAGAACGAAAGUUAGGGGAUCGAAGAUGAUCAGAUACCGUCGUAGUCUUAACCAUAAACUAUGCCGACUAGGGAUCGGGUGUAGUCCUUUUUUUGGCUCACUCGGCACCUUACGAGAAAUCAAAGUUUUUGGGUUCUGGGGGGAGUAUGGUCGCAAGGCUGAAACUUAAAGG